UGCAAGUCGAACGAUGAUUAUCUAGCUUGCUAGAGAUGAUUAGUGGCGGACGGGUGAGUAACAUUUAGGAAUCUGCCUAGUAGUGGGGGAUAGCUCGGGGAAACUCGAAUUAAUACCGCAUACGACCUACGGGUGAAAGGGGGCGCAAGCUCUUGCUAUUAGAUGAGCCUAAAUCAGAUUAGCUAGUUGGUGGGGUAAAGGCCCACCAAGGCGACGAUCUGUAACUGGUCUGAGAGGAUGAUCAGUCACACCGGAACUGAGACACGGUCCGGACUCCUACGGGAGGCAGCAGUGGGGAAUAUUGGACAAUGGGGGCAACCCUGAUCCAGCCAUGCCGCGUGUGUGAAGAAGGCCUUUUGGUUGUAAAGCACUUUAAGCAGGGAGGAGAGGCUAAUGGUUAAUACCCAUUAGAUUAGACGUUACCUGCAGAAUAAGCACCGGCUAACUCUGUGCCAGCAGCCGCGGUAAUACAGAGGGUGCGAGCGUUAAUCGGAAUUACUGGGCGUAAAGCGAGUGUAGGUGGCUCAUUAAGUCACAUGUGAAAUCCCCGGGCUUAACCUGGGAACUGCAUGUGAUACUGGUGGUGCUAGAAUAUGUGAGAGGGAAGUAGAAUUCCAGGUGUAGCGGUGAAAUGCGUAGAGAUCUGGAGGAAUACCGAUGGCGAAGGCAGCUUCCUGGCAUAAUAUUGACACUGAGAUCGAAAGC
rnacentral:rRNA from 1 species